rnacentral:ncRNA from 1 species
AUCUUCGGGGCAGGGUGAAAUUCCCUAUCGGUGGUUAUAGCCCACGAGCUAAUUUAGCAUGAUUUGGUGAAAUUCCAAAGCCGACAGUAUAGUCUGGAUGAAAGAAGAA